UUAAGCAUAUCAAUAAGCGGAGGAAAAGAAACCAACGGGGAUUGCCCUAGUAACGGCGAGUGAAGCGGCAACAGCUCAAAUUUGAAAUCUGGCUCUUUUAGGGUCCGAGUUGUAAUUUGCAGAGGGCGCUUUGGCGUUGGCAGCGGUCCAAGUUCUUUGGAACAGGACGUCACAGAGGGUGAGAAUCCCGUACGUGGUCGCUAUCCUUCGCCGUGUAAAGCCCCUUCGACGAGUCGAGUUGUUUGGGAAUGCAGCUCUAAAUGGGAGGUAAAUUUCUUCUAAAGCUAAAUACUGGCCAGAGACCGAUAGCGCACAAGUAGAGUGAUCGAAAGAUGAAAAGCACUUUGGAAAGAGAGUCAAAUAGCACGUGAAAUUGUUGAAAGGGAAGCGCUUGCAGCCAGACUUGCCUGUAGUUGCUUAUCCGGACUUUUGUCCGGUGCACUCUUCUGCGGGCAGGCCAGCAUCAGUUUGGGCAGUUGGAUAAAGGUCUCUGUCAUGUACCUCUCUUCGGGGAGGCCUUAUAGGGGAGACGACAUGCAACUAGCCUGGACUGAGGUCCGCGCAUCUGCUAGGAUGCUGGCGUAAUGGCUGUAAGCGGCCCGUCUUGAAACACGGACCAAGGAGUCUAACAUCUAUGCGAGUGUUUGGGUGUCAAGCCCAGACGCGUAAUGAAAGUGAACGGAGGUGGGAACCCUUUGGGUGCACCAUCGACCGAUCCUGAUGUUUUCGGAAGGAUUUGAGUAAGAGCAUGGCUGUUGGGACCCGAAAGAUGGUGAACUAUGCUUGAAUAGGGUGAAGCCAGAGGAAACUCUGGUGGAGGCUCGCAGCGGUUCUGACGUGCAAAUCGAUCGUCAAAUUUGGGCAUAGGGGCGAAAGACUAUUAACUAUCUAGUAGCUGGUUCCUGCCAAU
rnacentral:rRNA from 1 species